AGCAGAGAUCUCGGUUCUGGCCCGUCGUCGAAUUUCAUGCAAUAUCGGGGAUUUUGUCCUCGAUAAAGUCGGUGUCCAAUACAGUAACUCUGAUUUCGCUUCUCAAUAGUUUGAGAGCUUGAACCAUAAGUUUGCUUCCCCAGCGUCUGAGGAUCUUACUUCCUGAGUGCCCCUAAAAUCGUCGGAUUCAUGUUCUCAUAUCUUGUGCCUUUAUAUACACAGGAAAAAUGAGAAUUAGAACGACAAAUAGAUGAGAAGAACACAGAUAUGAACUUAGCUUAAUUGAAUAGAAGUUUUCGAGAAUGGGAAACUCCUGUGGCUGUUGUUAUACGCUGCCCAGCCCAGAAGGUAUCCGCCGACAGAGGCGACGGGACAGUGCUGUAAAGUGGUGGUGGCUUUCUUAGCCAAACGACAACUGCUGAAAUCUCAGCUUGGGCUGCUAGUUGAGUUUCGGAGGCGGUUUCAUCGAACGGCACUGACUUGUUGGCGAGAGGCGAGAGGCGAGAGGCGGCGCUGACUUGCUGGCGAGUGGAGAGGUGGCGCUGGCUGCGUAGGCUGAACCGUGACGAGGGAGAGAGACAGCUGCGCUGCUCUGCUGAACCGCGACGAGGGAGAAAGGCAGUUGCGCUGCUGGACCGUGGCGAGGGAAGGAGGCAGCUGCGCUGCUGAACCGUGGUGAGGGAAAGUGAGCCAGAGUGCUUGAGUGAAACUUCCACUGUAGCCAAGCUUGUGCGAGUGAGGAUGUUGAGCUGUCAGUGGUGGAGCUUUUCGAUGAUUCAUUGCUAAGAACUGAAACUGAUGGCAAUGAGCAGGCAACUUCUGGACUUUCAACUUCUUCACCCGUCUGUGCCCUUUACUAGCCCGGCUGAGUGAGACCUUUGUCCAUUAUCUUUGUGGGCAGCAAGCUUGAUGUGUGCAGCUACGGAGCAUAAUCUGCCCUGAAACCUCUUUAGUUGGGGAUUUGUUGUUCUGAGGGGUCGAAUGAGAGAGAGAACCGAAGUAGCGCAGCUGAAAUACUUCCCUGAACCCGACGAGGGAGAGAGCCAGCGCUGACUUUAAGCGGCGCUGACUGCUGAACCGUGGCGAGGAAGAAGUCGGCGCUGACUGCGCCGCUGAACUGUGGCGAGGAAGAAGUCGGCGCUGACUGCGCCGCUGAACAGAAAGAACAGAGCGAUGCUGAUUGCCCAAAGCCACCAGUGAUUCGCAGCAAAUCGGAUGUUUUUCCUUUUGCCACACCUCGGAUCGGAUCUUGAAGAUUUCCCACCGCAUCUGCGAUCUGUUUCAGAAUUCUGGAACAUUGAAUCCAGAACUGAAGUAGGGUGUACAGAUUGAAAUUGAAUCGAGUGAGAGAAAGACUUAGCUUUGAGAAGGAGGGCCUCAUCGAGACCCGAGGACGACAGCUACGGCGUUACCGACCUAAAGGAGAAGAAUCCGGAGCAGCAAGCGCUCGUCAGGGGCGAUUUUCCCUUUUCUGAGAUCUAGGGCUCGACCGUUCGUCGGAUUCUAGACGGAGGUGCGACAGCGGCGAUGACUUCCUGAGAUUAGGGCUCGAGUUGGAUUUCGCGAAUGGAAUGAAGAACAGAGAGAGAUCGGCGCCGGGGCUUGACGCGUCGCCGGUCGUAGCCGACCGGGGCAGAUGGCGGCUGAACGGCCGGAGGAGGUGCAGCUGACCAGAAUUUAUGAAGGAGCGGUCCUUUCUCUUUUCACCGAUCAAAAACCCCAACAUAUUGCCCGGAGUCCCGAACUUCUCCCCCAUUCCUCUUUGAAAUUGAAAACGAUGAACAGUACCAGAUCCCUAAUUUCCCAAAUUUUCGAUGAACAAUGAUCUCUCGAUGAACAGUAC
rnacentral:lncRNA from 1 species